ACCAUACCAUAUUGAAACACCAGGUUCUCAUAUGAUCACCAAAGUUAAGCAAUUUCAAGUCUAGUUAGCACCAAGAUGGGUGACUGCCUGGGAAUACAAGGUGCUAC